rnacentral:rRNA from 1 species
AUUGAACGCUGGCGGCAGGCCUAACACAUGCAAGUCGAACGGUAACAGGAAGAAGCUUGCUUCUUUGCUGACGAGUGGCGGACGGGUGAGUAAUGUCUGGGAAACUGCCUGAUGGAGGGGGAUAACUACUGGAAACGGUAGCUAAUACCGCAUAACGUCGCAAGACCAAAGAGGGGGACCUUCGGGCCUCUUGCCAUCGGAUGUGCCCAGAUGGGAUUAGCUAGUAGGUGGGGUAACGGCUCACCUAGGCGACGAUCCCUAGCUGGUCUGAGAGGAUGACCAGCCACCCUGGAACUGAGACACGGUCCAGACUCCUACGGGAGGCAGCAGUGGGGAAUAUUGCACAAUGGGCGCAAGCCUGAUGCAGCCAUGCCGCGUGUAUGAAGAAGGCCUUCGGGUUGUAAAGUACUUCCAGCGGGGAGGAAGGGAGUAAAGUUAAUACCUUUACUCAUUGACGUUACCCGCAGAAGAAGCACCGGCUAACUCCGUG